CUUGGUGUUCCGCCACCAAUAGCCUACCGAUCCAUGCAUUGCUGGUAACGGCGGUGUGUGAAGCGAUCGGGACAAUGUAACCCGCCGAAAAGCGGCAUCAGUUCCGUGAGGAGCAGGUGCUAUCUGCGAGCAUCAACGCGGAUGGGGGC
rfam:gamma proteobacterium HdN1, complete genome.